rnacentral:tRNA from 1 species
GGGGGGCUCUGCUAGCUUGGUCAGGCUUCAGCCUUCGGGAGGCUGCGACCCGUGUUCAAAUCACGGGCCCCCCG